UUUAAGUCAAAUAAAUAUCUCACAAUCCCAUUACUAUACGGUUGUCUCCAUAUCUCCUUCUUUCCUUAAAAAUCUCCAACCAAAUACUCUUUGUUAAAUCUAUUUAUACUUUUCCUCCCACAAUCUCAGCAACCUACCGUUCCUGCAGUUUUCUUCCCCUUCCAACCAAGUUGAGAAGAAAUAGUUCGAGUAAGAGAGCCGAGAGUCCCCCAAAUUGUUUUCCUGCAACUCUUUGCAACAAAGGUUGGUUUCUGGGCUGCGCGGUGUCGUUUCGGGACUGUUCGAAGAGAGAGCAGACCAGUGGCGACUGCAGACGGCGAUGGCACUGAGCGACGGCGUGGACGCGGCCAGCAUCAGCUCUUCCCGGCGGCGACAGCAGCGUCUUCCAGGCACGGUGACAACAGCACCGUUCCCUCCCGACGAGCAGUGGCCGGCGGCAUGGAGCGAAUCGGAAGAGGCGACGAAAAUUUGGGGAUCUUGUUUUCUUCCAUGUUGUGAGAGAAGGCGAAUUAGAGUAGAGAGAGAAGUCGAUGGUUUUGGGUGGAUGGUUUUUCAUUCAUUCUUUUGUUUUAUACUUUAAUGAAUUCAUACUUUAGUAGUUGAGGUGUAAAUUAAAGUGGAAGUAGAGGGGAGUAUACGUGUAAUUUUUGUAACAGGAGGUGUGCCCUUUAGUUCCAUAUUUUAAAUUUAACUAGUUCCUCUUCAA